GGGGCUGCUCCAGCUUCGCCGUCACCUGCACGUGGGCGCUUUGGGACUCUUGGGGGAACACGAACACGGAGCUGCCCAGGUCUGGGAGAGGGGGUCCCGGUGUCCAACCUUGUGGGGCCGUGGGACCAAAGAGCGCAGCGAGGAUGAGGAGGCAAAGCCACAGCAGCCCCAUGGCGUCGUCGAACCCAGCCACUGUCACCACCGUAAGAAGAGAGGACCUUGGAGCCACCCGGAGCUGCUCAGAGGCUGCUCCGAGGACACCCAAGAGUGACAGUGACUUUCGUGGUGACACUGACCUUCGUCCCCAAGCCCCAGGGCUGUUGGGAAAUCAGCCCGGGGAUGGCGUCUGAGGCUGUUCCAGGCCAGCAGCGCGGGCGGCAGGCGCAGGGACAGGAAGGCUGCGCGCAUCUUGUCCGGCGACAGCCCCGUGUCCCACAGGAUGGCAGCCGUGGCCCCCACCGUGUAGCCCCUCUGCAGCCCCUUCCUUGGCCAGGGCUUCCCGUUGAACCAGAACUCGACGACGCCGGUGGCG